AAGAGCAUGGUCCACUUGUUCAGCGGGCUGCGUUAGUUUAGGUGUUGAGUUUGAGGGAGAAGCUGGAGAGCUGUGGAGUUCCACUCCAGGGGUGAUAAAAGCAUGAAACAGCUUAUGUAGGAUCAGAGCCAGCAUCCCCUGUCUUCUGCAAUGGCCAAUGACAGAUGCUGCAGAAAAACGUAAGAACAGGGUGAGUAGAGGAAGAUCCAUCUCCAGUAGAUUUUCCAGCAUCCAUUCAUCUGAGGUUUAGGGACUUUUAGAGCUACAUAUGAGGUGUUAGUAGUUAACAGUAGUUAAGUAGUGACUUAAUCUUGCUAAAGCAGAAAGGGUUGCUAAUGACAGGAGAGCUCUGUAAUCCCCCAGCAUGCUGCCCUGACAUCCUGCAGAGCAGACUCCAAACUGUUUACCUUUCUGUUAAUUGGUUUGUUUGCAUACAGCCUGUUCCAGGGAAGGGAAGGACUGCUGACCAUCCUGUCUCUGCAGGAUUCCUUUUUGAGGUCUAGCUCCCUGGCAUUAAAUGCUUUGAUCCCAAAGGAUCCUCAGUUAUACAUAAUUUAAUCAUCCGAUGGAUCCUGCCAACUGGUGUCUGGUCAAGAGAGCGUGGUAACUGCUCUGCAGCAUGUGGUGAUGCUGCUCUGAAAUCCAGGCCCUGCCAGGAAGUAGAGGAGCACAGUGGUCAAGAAAAGAAACACCAAGAGUUUCAGUCCCGCCCUCUGCUUCAGUGAUUGGAUGCUGCCCACUCUUUUGUAAGGCAAGCGAUGCAGCUGUCAGCCUCACAAGCUCAUGAUCUUUGCUCGCUGAAUAAGUAGAAAUGUGCAGGAGGUCGCCCGUUGCCCUCUUCGUGGCCCUGUGCGCCAGCCAGCUGGGCAUGUGGGCAGCAGGGCGCUCCAAGGUGAACCCCAGGAUCAUCACAGCUCCACAAGGUGCAAAAGAGUAUGUAUUUCCCAGGAGUGAGAAGUACCCAGUCUUCUAUCAUAAUCAGAACAGCUCAGCCAUCUAUGUUGGCGGAGAAGGAAAGCUUUAUUACUACGACUUUGCAACCUAUGAGAACCACACGGUAAGGAUGCUCUGCUAACAAGUUUACCUUUGGAGCCCUAAAAGAAAGUGUCCAGCAUUCGUCUCUCAGCCCAAACGCUAGAUACCUUGCUCAGUGUCUUUGCCAGAAGCAAAGUCAGGCCUAGAAUGGUCUGGACUCUGCCCAGCC
rnacentral:lncRNA from 1 species